GAUGAACGCUGGCGGCGUGCUUAACACAUGCAAGUCGAACGGAAAGGCCCCUUUGGGGGUACUCGAGUGGUGAACGGGUGAGUAACACGUGAGUAACCUGCCCUUGACUUUGGGAUAACUACAGGAAACUGGGGCCAAUACCGGUAAGGAAUCCUUGCUGCAUGGUGGGGGUUGGAAAGCUUCGGCGGGUUUGGAUGGACUCGCGGCUUAUCAGCUUGUUGGUGGGGUAGUGGCUUACCUAGGCGUUGACGGGUAGCCGGCCUGAGAGGGCGACCGGCCACAUUGGGACUGAGGUGAGGCCCAGACUCCGACGGGAGGCAGCAGUGGGGAAUAUUGCACAAGGGGCGGCGGGCUGAUGCAGCAACGCCGCGUGCGGGAUGACGGCCUUCGGGUUGAAAACCGCUUUCAGCAGGAGCGAAGCUUGUGGUGACGGUACCUGCAGAAGAAGCACCGGCUAACUACGUG
rnacentral:rRNA from 1 species